GAAAUGCGAUAAGUAAUGUGAAUUGCAGAAUUCCGUGAAUCAUCGAAUCUUUGAACGCACAUUGCGCCCCCUGGCAUUCCGGGGGGCAUGCCUGUCCGAGCGUCAUUGCUGCCCUUCAAGCCCGGCUUGUGUGUUGGGUCGUCGUCCCCUCCGGGGGACGGGCCCGAAAGGCAGCGGCGGCACCGCGUCCGGUCCUCGAGCGUAUGGGGCUUUGUCACCCGCUCGAUAAGGACCGGCCGGGCGCCAGCCGGCGUCUCCAACCUUUUUUUCUCAGGUUGACCUCGGAUCAGGUAGGGAUACCCGCUGAACUUAAGC
rnacentral:misc_RNA from 1 species